rnacentral:rRNA from 1 species
ACGGGAGGCAGCAGUGAGGAAUAUUGGUCAAUGGGCGGAAGCCUGAACCAGCCAAGUCGCGUGAAGGAUGAAGGUAUUAUGUAUUGUAAACUUCUUUAGACGCAGAGAAAUAAGGGGCUCGUGAGCCCUGAUGCUAGUAUGCGUAGAAUAAGGAUCGGCUAACUCCGUGCCAGCAGCCGCGGUAAUACGGAGGAUCCGAGCGUUAUCCGGAUUUAUUGGGUUUAAAGGGUGCGCAGGCGGUCUUUUAAGUCAGUGGUUAAAUCGUGAGGCUCAACCUCAUCACGCCAUUGAUACUGGAGGACUUGAUUGCGGUUGAGGUUGGCGGAAUUCGCCGUGUAGCGGUGAAAUGCAUAGAUAUGGCGAAGAACUCCGAUUGCGUAGGCAGCUGACCAAGCCGUAAAUGACGCUCAUGCACGAAAGUGCGGGGAUCGAACAGGAUUAGAUACCCUGGUA